UGGUGGCGGUGGCUAUCCUUGAUAUGGAUAUUUGCAAGAGGUCACAAUGGUUGGAACUAUGAAAACAACACUAGAUAUGUGUUUGUGUUUUAAUUAAGCAUCUGUGUUGUUAUGUGAUAUGGUUAAAUAAAAAAAUGGUCCUUAUGGUCGCGUUAUAGGAGCAAGGUCUGUAAGGUUGAGAAGUCAGGCGAGCAAGCCAACCUUGUGUUGUUUCUUAUUAUGUAUAAAAUAGAAGAUAUGUUUUAAAUUGUAAGUGGGCUUUGAUUAUUGAUUUUUCUUAAACACAGAGAGAUCUGUGUGCCUAUAUAUCAUGAUAAAAAGUAUCUAUGAUUUACAAGAGUAGCUCCAUGGCGCCAACAAGGGUGGCAGCCCAAGCGGUGUACAACAAGGGACUUAUGGUACUAUUCUUCUUAAAUUAUUGUUUUCUACCGUCCGCCACUCACGGCAAUGAUCACGCACUCCAUCAACUACCGCAGUAGGGAGCAAAGAGGUGUGCUUGAAGACACGCCGGCUCCUCUCAAGCCAAGUGCAUUGUAGCGAGGAAAUCACCACCUAGUUGACGCCCUUGCGAAGCUUUGGCGGGAUGGACAGUUGCCAAGAGGUCCACCAUUGAAGGAUAGAAUCAUUCACCAUUAGGGCAAGAUGGGUGAGAGCCCAAGAACGAUCUAGUGAAGGAUGUCAUUUGACAAGUAAAAAACUGUGGAAAUCAUAGUCAUCUUGGAUCAAAAGCACUGCACCUCACUUUUUUUUAAUCGAUCUUCAACCGGACCAUUGUUUCAAACGUGUCGACUUGAAAUUCCUAACAUAUUUAUCAUCUUUUAAAAACAAUAUGAUAUCAUCAACAUAUCUACAUAUGACUACACCACUAGGAUUUAGGAAUGAUAUAGGGGUUGACAUAAAGAAAAUGAAUGACAAGAGGUGUAACAUGAAUACAUGACACAGUAGUUUGGCAGGCAAAACAAUUUUCUGACCUGCAUAUCUAGUCCAUUGAAUUGACAUAAACUAUAAUCUCCCCAUCAAACUCAACCAAAACCAUACUUACGAUUUCUUUUUAAUAUCAAGAUCCAUGGAUGCCGCAUCAAGAGUCCUUUGCGCGUGUGUGCUCAUGCUCAGCCGUAGGUGUACAAGCACGGAGGCCAAGGCAGCGGCUGAAGAAAGCAGAGAAUAGACGCCCAACCAUUUCAUGAUCGAAUUCUCCAAUUGUAAAUCUCCAGCUAGCAGGAAAUCAUCGUCAGCACAGCAUUCGGGCAACAGCAAGCCGAAACGCAAAAUAUGUGCAAUCAUUUGCCGAUCAGCCACAAGUUGACGUGGCGCCAUAUGAAUUCGGCGGCGAGUUGGGUACCCUCUUUGACUUGUCAAGCAAAUGUUGUUGUUGUAAUUCUUGCUUCAAUACACAUGUGGUAUUUAAAUAGAUCAAACUAUUACUCCCUCCGUUCGGAGUUAGUUGUCACAGAAAUGGAUGUAUCUAGACGAACGGAGGGAGUAUUACCCAAUGAGACAUGAGAUUGGUUUGGUUUGUAUCUUUUUCGUAGAUUGCUUCAAUAACACAGUACCCAUGCACGGUAGGCACAGAUUGGUUUGUAUCUUUUUCGUAGAUUCAUUGUUUUCAUAAUGUUUAGGAACAAAAAACCAAAAGAAACCGAAAAACCGAUAAAAGAAUCAAAACCAGAUGGUGUAGUACCUAAACUAUCUACACAAGCCAGCCCAUCGCCGCUCGCCCUCUGCAAAGCACCAGCAAUUUGCCGCAAUAUGCGGCAAAUAGGGAAUUCCAAAAUGCGCCUCAAUUUACACUUAUAUUAUUAACCUGAAGCAUAGAAAGGGGUGUUUUGACACAUCUGCCAUAAAAAAUUGUUCUCACACUACAACAAGCGAAUUGUAAUUUCUUCCACUUGCUAUCAUCAUGGAUGCAUACGUUCAGUGUAGGAUUGCAUCAGUAAUCAAUGUUUAAAAUGAAUGCAAUGUGGUUGGUGCCAUGCAGGGGCUUCAGAGUGUUUCAGGCCUCGUUGAACUUGAAGACGCAAUCGUAAAGCCUUCCACCCAAAAACUGCGCCACUUCAGGAUGCUUGACCUGGAACAGAGCAAUAAAACAGUAGUUUGUGAACUUCAGUAACCAGUUUGUGUUAAAUCAUAGUCUGCAGCUAAUCUGGAUAAUCUUUGAUAUAAAUAAAUCACAUAAUCAUAAUGCACAUAAAACAACACACCAUUCCAAUCUUGAUCGAGGCACAUUUCAUUUGUGCGUAUAGGUUGGUUUCGAUUCCUCUUCCCUGUAAAUGACACAGGUAGGGUGCAAUUAGUGAUGGCCUUCAAACAAAAAGAUGUGCCAACUUGUGAAUGCCCUUACCAUGCCUUCUAGGAUGACCAAGUCAGCAUCGCUUGCCAUAUAGGCUAGUUCCGGUGCGACGCUAGACAAAUCUAUUACCUGAGACGAGGUGGGUUGUCUAUUUAAGCAUCUGAGACAAUCAAUAGAAUUUACGAAGCCACCAUAGUGGAUGGCAGAGUCAGGUUCAAGAUAUUCUUACUGGCAGAUCGUUCCCGGAGUUGGCAACAAUGAGGUCAGAUACAUCCACACCAGCAAGCUUUCCAUUUUCGUCCUUGAGCUGAAAACAAUUGAAGAACAUGAGUCACAUUGUUGUAUCAUAAAUGAUAUAUGAUUUUUUUUAGUUACCUUGUUUACAAUCUCAACCAACUCUAGGUAAGUGAUAUCAUUGAUGGAAGGCAUGUCAUUGGCAGCAAGUAUCACCUGCACCAACCAAAGAAAGAUAACUAUUGAUAUUCUUUACUCUUUACUAAAAAAGAAAGAAAAGAAAUCAUAAAUCACAAGACAAUUUAUGCAUCGAUCACAGUGAUUCCAAGUUGGACAUGUACAACAACACAAGCACGCACAUAAGCACGAACACACUUUCAGCUUAAUUGAGAAGUCAUGGAUAGACAUAGACUUCAAUGUGAACCAUUUUUCAUAGAUAAUUUCUUGCAUUCAGUUACUUAAAAGCUGAAUAGGAGCGAUACGUUACUACCGAAAACAAACUCAUGUAGAAAUGACAAGCAAACCCUUGUCCAUGCUUUCCAGUAGUUCCGAAUGAAUAAGAGCAAUAUGAAAAGAUUAAGACAAACCUUAGUGCCACGUCGGAGCAACUCCCUCGCAAAUGGUAAUAUGCCCAAUAUGAUAUCAGCACCAGAAUUAUCAACAAAAAUAACUGCCUACAGCAUAUGAUAGAAGAUUGAUUCAGCUAGGUACAAACUUAAGGUUGGUUGUACAGAAUCAACAUUGUAAACAUAUACACAGCUGAAAGAAAAUGCCACUGAGUAAACAUAGUUUAUAUGCAACUGCCCAGUAAUGAUUUCACCCGUAAUUGAUGCAUGGAUGGUCCAGAACUGUUACUAGGCCAACAGUAACAACCACAGAUACAUAAGUCAAAUCCACCAACAAAGCUACCAGGAGAUACAGAAAGGAAUACACUAAAUAUCACUGAGCGAGUUAUUGAUUUCUAAUAAUGUACAUAGUACAUAUCAAAACAAUUUAUAAAUGGGUUAUUAACAAAUAAGAACCAUGAUUAUUGGAGAUAGACAUGGAACCAGAAUACUAAUGAUAUUAGCACUUUUUUUCUUCCAAAAUAUAAAACCAUAGAACUGCAGAUAUACACUAAAAUGACAUAUAAAACAGUACAUUGCCACAUAUGCAAACUAAAACAGUCUCUUGCCAUAGGAUGGACAGCAGGCUCUGUCUGGCAUUUUGUACAGUUUCAACAAGAAUACAGUAAAACAAUAAAAUUUACCUUUUCCCAAGAUUUCUUUGUCCAUUUGCUUUUAAAUGCAUCUAGGUCAUCAAUAACCCAAGGUCGAGAUAAAAGAUUCUGGCAACUCGCCAAGAAGGACAUACCAUCUUUAGCAAAAACUUCUGCAAGCUUCAAGUUUUGCAAUAAAAAGAAUAUUUUGUCAAUAACAAAGAGAGAUCUCAGAAGGAUUCACAAAGAACUAACGAAAUUUGAUUUCAUCACUUUCAGGACUUCAGGUUGAAUGGUCUUUCAUAUUAAGGCGGUGAUGUUUCAAAGCAACCUAAGGUAAGCCCUUCGAAGCUCCAUGGGAGUAAAAGACCAAUAAAACAUUAAUGCAAUUGGGACUACAUACCUGUGCAGACCCUAAGUCAAAUAUGUUUCCUGCUAAGAUUCCACGGAUCAAGUUCUCUGCUCGUUUCUCACCAUCUUCUAUUUCAUCAUUCCGCUGAACAACUCCCUCAAACAGUGACAUAGCCUUAGCGUUCUCCUCGUCCUACUCGUAAAGAAUCAAAAUAAUCAAAGGAGCAGAAACAGUUACGACCAGAAAUUAUCACAACAAUGAAUAACAAAAUUAUGCCAGGUAGGAAAACCUUGUUACAAUUUACCUUAACCUUCUUGAAGAUGUCAUGAAACCCCAAUUCUCUAAGGAUUAGCUCACGAAGCCUACAAAGAAGCUUGAGAUCCAUUGCAAGAGUUAGAAGUAGUUGAAAAUUUUCUUUCAUGAUCCAAUGAAAAACUCAUCUUACUAUGCAAUCAGGAGGUCCUCCAUGGCUCUCUGGGUUCUUCUUCAACUCCUCAAGCAUAUCAGUGUACCUUCACCACACAACAAUACGUACAUAACAAAAUGUAAGAAUGCAUCUAGAAGGCUUCAUAAUAUGAACAGAGUAACAUUGUGAUAAUAUUUGAGUAACCGUUGAUGCACAUCAUGUCAGCGCUUAACCCCAGAGAAGCAAUCAUGAACGUGUAAUGCACUUUUUUUUAACAAAGCAAUGCAAAUGUUGACUGGUGUAAAUUAAGCCACACAUACAUGUAAUAUGUCGCAAUGAAAGCAUUGAACCUAAGACUAAAGCACCUUAACAUAUAAAAAUAACAACAUGGUUUGGAGUGAUUUGCAGAUCUAAUUUCGCAGCCAAACAUUAUCUGGCAAAUAUCUGCCCAUGACACCCAAUAACAAACAAGAGAUAUCAUCAUCCGAACCAUGAAAGUGAAUCCCACGAAUCAUUUCCGGAAUCGUACAGUUUUUGGUGCUUAGUAGCAUACACGAUACAAUUGUUGUUAAGGCAUCCCGUCUUGGACACUUAGGUGGCAAGGUGCCCUGGCAGCGCCUUGCAAUUGUGCCUGCCUUAGCUGCAUAGGCGUCAGGACAGUGGGUGCUCACCUUAGGUCACCUUACCGCCUUAAGAACAAUGUACAAUACAUCGAAAGGAUGAAAGAGCAUGGUACAGUUAAAGACAUACAUGAUCUCACGCUUCAUUUCAAAUAUUUGGUAUAGUAAUUCUUAGAAUUAACUAGGUCUCAGCAUUACCUCACAUUGCUAGUUACUGAGAUCAUUCUGCGUGGAUAAACUGCGACAGGUUAAUGCUAGAACUGCUAAUAAGUUGCUUGUGGGCAUAAAUCAAGGAAUACUAAGUGCAAACCUAGUCUGUCAAAUUUAUCACUAGUUAGACUGCCAGUUGAUGAACCAAAGCUGAGUGCUUACACCUGCUUGAUAUCAACUUAGCCUUAGCGGCUUAUCCUUCUCACAUCCGUACUCUUUUGACCAAAACAUCCCAAUCAAGUGACUGUCAAAGAUAUAGGCUCUUUGACCCUUUCUUCGUAAAAUGGAAUAUCCCAAAAUACUCUGAGGUGAAAUGGCAUUCGUUUAUGUGCACAAGCAGAACUGUUAGGCAUACGAAUCACCAAGUGGUAAUAUCCAGCUGUUCAACUUUAUGGCUUUCACCUCAAAGAUAAUUGAUCUAAUAAAUAUUACAAACAUAAACUAACUUGGCCAGCUACUUCCACAUGGCACCCAUAUCAUAAUAUCAGCGAAGGCGGCCCUUCCGAGCUUUGAAGCUGUAACGCCCAAGAAAUUUAGUGAGAGAGUUAACUUUUAGACUAAGGUGCUGCGUGUUUGCUUGUUACUGUUCAAAACGCCACACCAAAAUUCUUAAUAUUCACAAUAACAGAAGUUUUUUUGGUGCAAGCUAACAAUUGGGAUUGAAAUAUCUCUAUCAGGAUUAGGACACUUGUCUUGCGAACAGUUAACAGUUCAUGAACACAACAGAAGUUAGUUUUUUUUCAUUUGAUACUUCCUCCCAAUGAUCAGCCCUCGCAAAGCUCCGCCUGCCUAGUUCAAGUGAGUUGUUUCAAUUUUUAUUUUAUUUUUUUGGUUCAGCAAUUGAAAAUGAAGUCUGCCGCUGUCAAGUACAUCAGGUGAAUCUUGUGGUGGCUGACAACAGAACUGGCAGAAACUUUUAACCGUGCCAUCAGUAAUUGGUUUUGCACCUGCUCGAGCAGGUGCCAAACCAAAAUUGCCUGACACACCAAUUACUGUCUGCAAGUACCAAAGGAAUUUAGCUAUUGUGUAGUAUGUGUCCAUUCCAAAUUAAUCAUGGCCUUUUUUCAGGAGCAGAUAUUUGAUAGCCCAUACUACAUCUGCAAAGAAAUCGACCUCUUGCCAAUAGUUGCUAAUAUCUGAUGAAUCUGACACUAACUUGUCUUUACCACCACCACCACUUGAGUCAUAACGAAGCAACAUGAUCGAUCAAUCAGACACUGGUCACUGAUACAUACGUACCUCUGAGCAAACUUCUCGGCCUUGGCGGGGGCAUCCGGCACCGUGGGGUCAUUCUCCGCCCGCUGCCUGGAAAAGGGUCAGAAGACGAACUGAAGUGAGAAUCAGUGGAGCGCUACGGAGUUCAAAUUCCGGGCCGGGACUGUACCUGAAGGAUGGCACGGACUUCAGGAAGAGGUCGAUCCACUGGAUCUCGACGGGGGUGGCCUUGCGGGGGUUGUCGGAGGGGAAGCGGUAGGGUAUGGUGCAGGCACGGUACGUGCUCUCCACUGGCGCCUGCAGCAGCGGGAACGGCACCGAAGGCGACGAGCUCUCCAUGCCCCUCCGCCGCCGCUGCUGCGGUGCGUACGGUGGUUGGGGGUUUGUGCGGAUCCUCGGAGGCGGUUAGCUCGGCCUCGCCGUGAGAUCUGGUUGCGCCGUACGCACCGCACCGGCCGGGAAGAUGAAGGAAGCGAAGUGCCGCUUGGCAAUUGCAGAGAGUCGCUGCAGAUGCUAUCUUUUUUUUCGCACAUUCGCUACAGAUGCUCUUGCCUCCUGAUGUAGAUAGGCCCGCAAUGUGCCGUAGUUUGGGCUCGGUACGCUUCAUAUGAGCCAGCCCAACUUCUGCUAGCGGGCUGAGGGACAGGGGGUCUCAUCGCAAAGAGAGUUAGAGGAAGUUGUUCAACUCAAAAAAAGUUGGAUUCUCAACAACAAAAAAAGUUAGAGGAAGUUGUCUUUCUUUUUGCUUUUCUUUUUUGCGGGGGUAGAGGAAGUUGUCUUUCGAAGCAAGUAGUGAAGGACAUCCAUGCUGGAACACAAGGAGCGUAUGGGAAUAUCAGUAGUGAGAUCAAGCAUGGAGCUUUAAAUUUUAAUUGUAAUUUUAUUUUUGAAGGUAGAGCAUUGAAUGGUGAUGCCGAUAGAUUAGCCAAAUUGUCUCAUUCUCUUGAUCAGGGAUGACACAUCUGGUUGAUCCAACCCUACGAUCCUAUUUGUAUUCCAUCGCGCGUGAAGUAUGAUCAAUAAAACUUGAUGACACCCUAAAAAAGGUUAGAGGAAGUUGUCUGGGAGCAACUUUUGUUUUUCCCCUAAAUUUAUUUUUAUUUAUUAAUUAAAAAAUAUAAUUGCCCAAGACCCGCCCAUUAGUGGCACAUGUGACAGCGGGUGAUGCGGUGCCUGCCGGCGAGGGGUAGGGCGAAACGGUGUGUGGGGUGUCGGCGUGAGCGGCGGGCGGCGAUACGGCCGCAAGGCGGUUUGGUAGCAGGCAGCGUGGGCGUUCCGGCGUGGCGGUACAGGUGUAUUGCGGCGUUCCGGCGAGGUUCCAGCGGAGCAAGCGAUGAAGUUUCGGGCAGUUAUUAGCCCGCCAAAAGGAUACGAAAAGAUUAUCUUUCCGUAAACUUGCGGGAAGAAUGCCACUUUUACAGAAUCUCUAAAGUUAUGGACACUUUUAAGGAAACUGUUGGAGAGGUUUUCUGCCCCCAACUUUUCGUAAACAGUGGUUAGUUUAGAUAUAGGGGAGCUGUUGGUGUUGCUCUAAGACACUUUUAAGGGAACUGUUGAGGCGUAUUUCUUCUGGGUUUUUCUUGCACGGGUUUUGUCGGCUUCCCUCAUUUUUGUUUCCAUUUUUAUUUAUAUUUUUAGUUGUAUUUUUAUUUAUUUAUUUAUAUUUUCCCCUUUUUAUCAAAUUUGUGACCUUUUUUCAUAAAAGACCUUUUUUCAAAUUUGUGAACUAUUUUUCAAAUUUCAUGAACCUUUUUCACAUUUUGAGUUUUUUUCAUUAUUUGUGAACCUUUUCCUUUUUUGAAAAGUCAACAGUCAACUCUCAGUGGUCAAUGAUCUAGGUCACUGGUUGGCCAGCCAACAAUCAACGGUCAUAGGUCAUCAGAACAGGUUUAAAACAAGCGCAGCUGGGCCGGAUCCAUAUACUCUCGUGCGUGAUUGUAAGUCUUAUUAGCUGGCGCCUGAGAUUUCUCAAAAACAAAAAAAAAUAACAAAAACUGGCGCCUAAGGAGCCAAUUAGGAGCGAUCCCUAUUCGUCACUUAUUGGGAGCAACUAGUUCAUGGGUACCACCCUCAGCUUCCCAGUGAAUGCGCACGCACGGGCGCUUCACCCAUGUCGCACACUGGAGGCACUCAGCAUGUGCUUUCGACAUUUUGGGCAUUUUUAUUUCUAUUCAGAUUUUGGGUUUUCCAAUUUUACCAGGUUUUUUUCUAUGUUCUAUGUUUUUUUCUUUUUAUUUAUUCUUUGGUUUCUUUGUUUCUUGGCUGUGCUUUUCACGUGAAGCAUAAAAGGCACAAUUGUGCUCAUGGUGAAAACCCGUUGUGUUUUCGUGUGAAGUAUAAUUGUUCUUUUUGUGUCAAGCACAAACUAUGCUUAUGUGUUUCCCAACAAAAUUGAAUAGCAUAGUUCUGUGAUGACCCAUAAGUAUAAGGGAUCUAUUGUAGUCCUUUUGAUAAGUAAGAGUGUCGAACCCAACGAGGAGCAGAAGGAAAUGAUAAGCGGUUUUCAGCAAGGUAUUCUCUGCAAGUACUGAAAUAAGUGGUAGCAGAUAGUUUUAUGAUAAGAUAAUUUGUAAUGAGCAACAAGUAACAAAAUUAAAUAAAGUACAGCAAGGUGGCCCAAUCCUUUUUGUAGCAAAGGACAAGCCUAGACAAACUCUUAUAUAGAAGAAAACGCUCCCGAGGACACAUUGAAAUUAUCGUCAAGCUAGUUUUCAUCACGUUCAUAUGAUUCGCGUUCGGUAUUUUGAUAAUAUGAUAUGUGGGUGGAUCGACGCUUGGGUGCUGUCCUUACUUGAACAAGCAUCCCACUUAUCAUUAACCCCCAUUGCAAGCAUCCGCAAAUACAAUAAAAGUAUUAAGGUAAACCUAACCAUAACAUGAAACAUAUGGAUCCAAAUCAGCCCCUUACGAAGCAACGCAUAAACUAGGGUUUAAGCUUCUGUCACUCUAACAACCCAUCAUCUACUUAUUACUUUCCAAUGCCUUCCUCUAGACCCAAGUAAUGGUGAAGUGUCAUGUAGUCGACGUUCACAUAACACCACUAGAGGAGAGACAACAUACAUCUCAUCAAAAUAUCGAACGAAUACCAAAUUCACAUGACUACUAAUAGCAUGACUUCUCCCAUGUCCUCAAGAACAAACGUAACGACUCAUAAAGCAUAUUCAUGUUCAUAAUCAGAGGGGUAUUAAUAUGCAUAUAUGAUCUGACCAUAUGAUCUUCCACCAAAUAAACCGGCUAGUAUCAACUACAAGGAGUAAUCAACACUACUAGCAACCUACAGGUACCAAUCCCAGACUUAGAGACAAGAAUUGGAUACAAGAGAUGAACUAGAGUUUGAGAGGAGAUGGUGCUGGUGAAGAUGUUGAUGGAGAUUGGUCCCCUCCCGAUGAGAGGAGCGUUGGUGAUGACGAUGGUGAUGAUUUUCCCCUUCCGGAGGGAAGUUUCCCCGGCAGAACAGCUCUGCCGGAGCCCUAGAUUGGUUCCGCCAAGGUUCCGCCUCAUGGCGGCGGAGUCUCGUCCCGAAAGCUUGCUUAUGAUUUUUUUCCAACGAAAGACUCUAUAUAGCAGAAGAUGGGCAUCGAAGGGCCACCAGGGGGCCCACGAAGCAGGGGGCGCGCCCAGGGGGUAGGGCGCGCCCCCACCCUCGUGGCUAGGGUGUGGGCCCCCUCUGGAACUUCUUGCGCUCAGUAUUUUUUAUAUAUUUUGAAAAUAGCUUCCGUGAAGUUUCAGGACUUUUGAAGUUGUGCGGAAUAGGUCUCUAAUAUUUGCUCCUUUUCCAGCCCAGAAUCCCAGCUGUCGGCAUUCUUCCUCUUUAUGUAAACCUUGUAAAAUAAUAAAGAAUAUGCAUAAGUAUUAUGACAUAAUGUGUAAUAACAACCCAUAAUGCAAUAAAUAUUGAUAUAAAAGCAUGAUGCAAAAUGAAUGUAUCAUUGUGUUUUCUCGAAAGGUGAAGCACAGUUGUGCUUCGGGUGAAGCAUAAUUUUACUUCCCCCUAAGAAUGAAAAACACAAUUGUGCUUCCAUGUAAGCCAUAAUUGUGCUUUCCUAAAAAGUUGAAGCACAAUUAUGCUUCCUUUUUUUUAUUUUAGUUUUCAUUUGUUUGUGUGUGUGUGGGGGGGGGAUCAAUUUCAUGUUUUUUUAAAGAAAGUCCAUCCAAAUCUAUUAACAUGAGAUCUGGUUUUGAAUAUCUCGAUGCGAGAAAUGCAACAGUAAAAAUAAUUCGUUAUUUGGAUGGACGAUUCAAGAGAUAAAACGUUUUGCAAAAGAAGAAUUUGCGAAUAAAUACAAUACUCCUGGAUCGCGAGAAGUGUUGCACAAGCAGUGUGCCACGUGUCACCAUCAGAGGAAGUGGGUGUGACCUUUAUAAGGGGCACCCCCUUGACUAGUUAUUUCGCGCUUACCGUGACAAGUUGUUGCCACUUCACACAAAUGAGCACGCUAGUGGUUGCUUUGGGCCGUCCAACUUAAUGCUUUGGAGAUUGGAUGGUUCUUCUGUUUUUUAAGAAUGUUCUCGAAGGUUCUAGCCCGGGUUCUUGUCGGUUUUGUUCACCUUCUAUAAGGUUCUUCAACAUGUUUUCAUUUUUCAAUUUUUUUUCAUUGUUUUUUUCGGCUUUCUUCUCUGUUUUUCAAAAGAUAUGGUUUACUAAUUCUUGUCCUUUUUCAAAAACUCACAAAUUUCGAAAAUGUUGAAUAUCUUGUAUAAGUUGCUCAUAUUUUCAAAAAUUAUUCAUAUUUUUCAAAAUAGGAUAUUCAAAAAUUGUAUACAACUUUUGAAUGUUCAAAAAGUUUAAAAUUAUUCAGAGUUUAUAAAAAUGAUCUAAUUUAAAUUUUGUUCAUGAUUUGCAAAAAGUAUUGGGAAAUUCAAAAAUUUAAAGUAUUUUCAGAAAAACCUACAAAAUCUCUAAAUUGUUUGCAAGUUAAAAAACAAAAAAAAAUCUCAGUUUUAAAAAAUUGUUCGGAUUAUGAAACAUGUUCCACAUUGUCGGUUCACCACAUGUGGUUUGUUGCAGUAACUCGUCAUAUUGAUGAAGUACCUACUCCUCCUAUUCUCUGCAUUGCGGUGCUAAUGGGUCGACGCAGUCGGGCACAAGGAGUGACUAGCUGCUCCACCAAGCGGCAUAGGAGGUCCUUAUCUCUCGCUUUCGGCGAGGCAGAGUGCGUCCGUGCCUACAGGUGCGCCUUGUUGGCCUAGCCCAUUAAUCGUUUGGUUACUUUUCUUUCUGAUUGCUUGAGUAGCAGUUAAGCUUCACAAUACCGCCAUCUACAUGUUGUUGGCCUUAUUGAACAGCUCUUGUUUAUUACUUUUAUUUAUAUUUCUGAAAUUGAAAUACAUUUUGCUUAAUUUUUUAAAAAAUUGUUCAUCGUACAUUGAAAAAAAUCAUGCAGUAAAACAAUGUUCGUUCAAGUUAUAAAAAAUGUCCAUAAUAUUUCAAAAAAAAAUUGGUGACAUUUCAAAAAAAAUCAUGGGUUCAUAAAAACCGUGACGAUUUUAGAAAACAAUUAUACAAUGUAAUAAAAAGUUAAUGUGAUUCAAAAAAAUGUUUCAUGCCAUUCAAAAUGUACAUGACAUUUUAAAGAAAUGUUAAAGCAUUUCAACAAUAUGUCCUUGACAUUUUUUAAAUGUUAAUACAGUGCAAAAAAAUGUUCACAUGAUCUAGAGAACUCCAUUCAAAAAGGUUUAUUCGAUUAAAAAAAAUGUUUGCGUGGUUUAAAUUUUUUUGUAAUAUUAAAAAAUGUUCACUAAAUAUAAAAAAUUGUUUUGUAAUAUUAAAAAAAUGUGCUCUUUUUUUCGCACAUUUUCUACAGAUGCUCUUGCCUGCUGAUGUAGAUUGGGCCGCAAUGUGCCGUAGUUUGGGCUCUGUACGCUUCAUAUGAGCCAGCCCAACUUCUGCUGGCAGGCUGAGGGGACAUCAGACAUGGGGUCUCAUCGCACGAAGGGAUGAGAGUUAGAGGAAGUUGUUCAACUCAAAAAAAAAAGUUGGAGGAAGUUGUCUUUCGAAGCAAGUAGUGAAGGACAUCCAUGCUGGAACACAAGGGGCGUAUGGAAAUAUCUGUAGUGAGAUCAAGCAUAGAGCUUUACAUUUUAAUUGUAAUUUUAUUUUUGAAGGCAGAGCCUCUAAUGGUGAUGCCGAUAGAUUAGCCAAGUUUUCUCAUUCUCUUGAUCAGGGACAACAUAUCUGCUGAUCCAACCCUAUGAUCCUAUUUGUAUCCCACUGCAUGUGGAUUAUGAUCAAUAAAAUUUGAUGAUACCCUAAUAAAAAAGUUAGAGAAAGUUGUCUGGGAGCAACUUUUUUCCCCCUAAUUUAUUUUUAUUUUUUAAUUAAAAAAGAUAAUUGCCCAAGACCCGUCUAUUACUGGCACAUGUGACAGCGGGCGAGGCGGUGUGCGGGCCGUCGGCAUGAGCGGCGGGCGGCGGCACGGCCGCAAGGUGGUUUGGCAGCAAGCGGCGUGGGCGUUCCAGCAUGGCAGUACGGCGGCAUUCCACGCGGCAAACGAUGAAGUUUAAGGCAGUUACUGGCCCGCCAGAAAGAGACGAAAAGAUUAUCUUUUCAUAAACUUGCCGGAAGAAAAUAUCAUUUUUACGGGAUCCUCUAAAGUUAUGAACACUUUACGGAAACUGUUGGAGAGGUUCUCUGCCCCAACUUCUGGUAAAAAAUGGUUAGUUUAGAGAUAGAGGAGCUAUUGGUGUUGCUCUAAGACUAUUUCUGCUCAAUUCCUAUUUGGUACCUUAAGCGUGGGUUAGAGUGCAUUUUGCAAACCGGCGCACCCACCCCCCUCCCCCAAUCGGCCCAUGUACACCCUCAUUUUGGGGGCGUUUUUCUUCUAGUUUUUCCCCAGCACUGGUUUUGCUGGUUUUCCUCAUUUUUGUUUUCAUUUUCAUGCUUAUUUUUAGUUGUCUUUUUAUUUAUUUAUUUAUAUUUUCCCCAUUUAUAAAAUUUGUGAACCUUUUUCAAAUUAAGGACUUUUUUCAAUUUGUGAACUUUUUUCCAAAUUUCAUGAACCUUUUUCACAUUUCGAGCUUUUUCAUUAUUUGUUAACUUUUUCCUUUUUUGAAAAGUCAACGGUCAACUCUCAAUGGUCAACGUUCAAGGUUACUGGUCGGCCGGUCAACAAUCAGCGGUCACAUGUCAUCAGUUAACAGAUUUAAAGCAAAGCACAACUGGGUCGACCCAUAUACUCCCAUACGUGACUGUUAGGUAUCUCUACUCGAGAAGUUGGUAAUCUCGCUUCAAGGUUUAUUUUCGUCCGCUUUAUUUUCAUCUAGCCUUCCACCAUCCCGUUGGUUUGGUUUUUUGUCUCACCUCGCACUGUCCGCCAAACCAGCCGCCCGCCGCCGCUAUCUUCCUCCUCUCCCGAUUCCUCCAAAGCAGCCGCCGGCCUCCAACCCCACCGCCCACCUCGUCUCCCCCAAUCCCGGCCUCCGCCCUCUACUCCUCUGCCGGCGCCCCCUUCCCUCCCCUCCCAUUCUCUCCCCGUACGAGCUUCGGCCGCAGCAAGAUCUGCCACGGUCGCACCGCUGCUUCCGCAUCUGUGCCAUCCUCCCGCAUCCUCACCAUCUCCCGCCCUCACGUCCAAUCCGGAUGCCACACCCCUCGCCACUACGUGAAUCCCCUCUCGCUACUGCGUGAAUCCCCUCCGCCAGAUCUUGUGGUCCUCGCCAUCACGCGGGGGGUUUGGGUCGCCAUGAGGAGACGCGGGAGAAGUUCUGUAGGAGCAUCGUCACCAAAGGCACCUGCAAUGUCUCAGGGAGAACAAGAACGUCGCCGACAGUUUUGAUCGAUUGUACGAUUCCUAUAUCAGCACCUAGCCCACCCAUCUAAUCUGCACCUACAUGUGAGUUCUUUUCGUUUGUAUGUGCUUAUGUUGGUGAAUUUCUGAUUUGAUACUAAUGUAAUACCAACCUCUCUCUUGUUCUAACUUGGUGAUUGGUCCCAUAAUUACCAGGCAAGCCGUGUAUUCGCUUUAACAAGGAGGGUACUCUGUUGGCUGUCUCUACUGUUGAUACUUGAUAAUGGUACCAAAGUUUUAGCAAAUGCCGAUGGUCUUCGGUUAUUGCGCACACUGGAAGAUCGUUCUAUCGAUGCUUCUCGUAGUGCAUCUGACACUGUAACAAAGGUAGUUACUUUUCCCAAGAAACAAAUUGAGAUUGUUUUCCCCACAUGCAUGGAUCAAUCGUUUCUUGUUGGUGCAGCCUCUAAUAAAUCCACUGACUGCUGGUGCCGUGGAAGCCGCCGCCGCCGGUGCAACCAGUUCUGAACUGCUGCUCCAUCAGCUAUAACUGCAAUGGUUUGUUUUGAUCCAGAUUCAUUUGGUCUGUUCUAUUAUAAACAAUUUACAUUGCGAUCCCAACUAACUUGAUCGUACUCUGUACUUUUUUUGAUGGAAUGGGGACAACAGAAACUUGGUUGAUGUAAAACCUGGAAUAGCUGAUGAGUCAAUGCAUAAGUCAAAGGUCUGGAAGCUUGUGGAGAUAACUGAUACAGCUCAGUGCAGAUCAUUAAAACUGGGUGAUAGUAUUAACACAGCUAAGGUGAUACUUCUUCCCUUGCCUUUUACCUCUCUAUAUUUUUGAAUAUGCAUCAUUUUCUAGCAAUCUUGUGGGUGCACUGCCAGUUAUAAGAUUGCUAUUUUCUUAAAUUAAUUCACAGUGUGAUUUCUACAUGUAGAACACUGUUUUAGCUCUCGUUAGAUGCUUGACGUUUGACAAGUGUCUUACGGACAUGAACAAUCAUUAUGACUGCUAAGUGAAGCUAUAUCUUCGGGAUCCAAUUCCAACCACGUCGACCAGAGCGGCUCCGCUAUCGUCGCAGGCCGUCCAGUGCAAGAGACCACCGGACGGGCAAGCGCUUCGCGACACAGGUCAAGAAGCCACCACCUAAGACAACGAUUGAAAAGGCGGCACCACCGUCGCCUCCCUUCAAACUCGCAGCCACCGCGCUGGCGGCGAGCUCGCACGCGCGCGUCGUCGACCAGCACCACCGCCGCAGAUUACUCCCUACCGCCGCGCCACCUCGUCAUCAUCGUCGGUGGAGGACGACCCUGAAUACGGUUACCUGCGGAUGGUGCUAGAGCGUGGCGGGUUAAUGUGCGCAAUGCCGCCGCCGAACUGGCCGUUCAAGGGCCACUCCAUGUCAUCCCCGGUGGACCUGAUCGUGUUCCACCUCCCCGCGGACGACUCCGACGACCGGCGCCAAGGCCCGCUCUGGCACCGGUGGAACCGGAAGCUCCUCUUCCACCUCACGCAAGAAAUCCUCGCCGUCCUCCUCCACCUCGACGACAACGGCGCCUCCUCCGCAACCAGACUCCACGGACCGGCGCUGCUGUCGAAGGUGUGGAGCACGGUGAAGGCAUUCCCGGCGGCGGACUGUAGGGUUGUGGGCGACAUCGACGCGCUGGUGGUACUGGACCUACAUGUCACCCAAUUUUGUUGUCUUUGGGGAAUAGAUGAUGACACAUGGACACCAUUCGGUGGCAGUUUGAUGUUUUUCAGGAAUGAAUUCCACCCGUUAUUCAAUACUACUAUGAGAAAAGUAGGGAAAUGCUCACCCUCUGCUAAAUGUACUGGUUCGUCUCGCGGUCUCACCCCCAAAAACAGAGGAGAGGAGAAGGGAGCUCCUCUCUCACACUCGUCGGCUCCAAGGAGCCCCGCCGCCAUGCAUGGUGGAGAGGAGCAGGGAGCUCCGCCGCCACGUAAGGUUAUAUCCAUUGUUGCAUCUUGUAAUUAUUAAUUUGGAAUAAAUCAUGCAAUUGGAAUUUAUAUAUGUUUUACUAUCUUUUUUGUAGGCAAACCAAGUCUGCAACGUUUGAAUAUUAUACUCAGUCAGUUGCUCGACUACUUACAGUCCUAUUACUUGAGACUUAUACUUGGUUAGCUGUCGUGUACAUUAUUCUGACAUAAAUGACACCAUGUCUAUGUGCAAGUCAGAAGGACCUGACCAUCUAAAAAGAUGUCAAAUUAGUGUGGUACAUGCUUCAGUACUGCAAGUUGGAGUAGCAAGUAAGUAUACACAUCAAAUGAAAGUACUGCUUUAGUACAACAUGCUUCAGUACUGACCAUCUAAAAAGAUGUCUAAUUAGUGUGCACGAAUCAUGUUAAAACCUGUAGUGCCUACUUGCGCAUUGAUACUCAUACCUGACGGUGAUAAAAGUUGCAUUUUGAGAUUCAAUUCUUUGAUUUAUGAUGCUCUGCCAUAUGCACAAUGAGAACAUAUAUCCUUCUUACUGAUCUCUGUUUUUCUAAGUUGAAACUAUUUCUUUGUUACUUGGUGUAUGUGAAGUGCCAUCAUAGUCCUGUCACAAACUUGUUUGAGGAAGGCAAAAGACUGGCCUUUUGCAGGACAGAGAAAAGACCGGCUUAUUUUAGUUCAACACAACAUAGCAAGCUCAAUAUAUAUUAGUUAGCACAUGGCAGGAUGCAGACUAGCCAUGUUCAUUUGUCAACAUUUAUACUUUCCAUUGUGUAGUUGAAGCACGCAUAGGAGCGUCCCAGUUAUGAUGUAUAGUUCACAAUGUUGAUUUGGUAAGUAGUUAGAAAACAUAUGUGAUGUAUAUGUAAAAAGUUGUGCCUCAUUCAAUUCAGAUAAUUGAUUUUCUGACUUUGCAUAUCGAUAAUUGAAAACGAUGCAUGACACACGUGUUAGUGAAAUAGAACAGUAUUAGUGUAGUCCGUGGCUUUGAAAUAUUCGAAAUAGUGGUGUCACAUAACUUCUUAUAAUCAUGGCGUAUAUUCUAGGAUCAUAAAAUUCUCUGAAAUAGUUUAUAUAUUUUUUCUUUCUCUUUUUGUUGUGAAUAUAAAAUUUCAGGCUUUCUCUUAUUGAAACACACAGAGUUCUUGAUAAAUGAGAAAGAGUCAGUUAUGUCAACACCAUGAGCACCCUUGAAUAAAAGUUUAUGUCGGUGUACUAGAGUAGGGGUACCCUAGUAUCCCGAACUCGUGCACGGGCAGUUGCAGCGCCCCGCGGCAAGGCUUGUCGGGUGACCGCCAAGACCCUCCAUGGUUCCCUUGAAGACCAUUCAAGAACAAAGUACUCAAACCAAGGCCCCGGCAAGAGGAGCUUGCCGGGAAGGCCAACCCAGGCCCCGGCAAGAGGAUCUUGCCGGGAAGAGACAAGACCCCGGCAAGAGGAGCUUGCCGGGAAGGCCACUCAAGGCAUACCAAGAAAGCUUGCCGCGACGCGCCCUGCGUCCCGGCAAGAUCCGGCGAGCGACAAGCUUCCAGACGCGACAAGACGACGACCCCGGCAAGGUACUUGCCGGAGGCCAGUUGCCACUAUGUACCCACGCUCCAGCGCACCCACCCGCGUGUCGCCAUGAGGCUUCCUCAGGGGGCGCGUGGCGGGAGCCUGUGCAGCUAGGGGUACGUGGUGGCAAGCGGAGAUGAAGAGAAGGCCAUCGUGGCGAACGGUGGCGCUCCUAACGGUCACUUUUUGCACUGUUUAGGCAAUUCAGACAGGCAUUCAAUGCUCUUGUCCCCUGCCGUCAGAGUUAGGUAGGGUGCACUGUGUCUACAGUAGCGGUAGCUGCACCUACCGCAUCCUUUUCCAUUUUUACCCCUCUUGUCUACGUUGCCACCUGUCGGUGACCCCUUGAGAGUAUAAAAGGAGGCCCAAGCGCAACGUAGAAGAGGUUCGGCCGGUUCGGCUCAUUCGAAACACCAGGGACACUCCCACGCUCAGUCUGAUAGCGUCGAUCGCUCCUGAGCAAGGAUUCAAUACACACAAACAAGCAGCAGUAGGGUUUUACGCAUCCGUGCGGCCCGAAGCUGGGUAAAACUGCUCGCGUGUACUGCCUCGAUCCGCUCUUUGUUCAACCUCCGCCCUCACCGAAUAGAAAGGGGCUCGGUCCGCCGAUCCCCAUAGGUGUUCGUGGAUCAGUUUUCCCGACAUCUUUGGCGCGCCAAGUAGGGGGAGCUUCGGCGGCAGCUGUUCCGUCCACGUCAAGGCUCAGCUGUUCUUCAUCGUCAUGGCUCCUAAGAAGCGGGCGAGCAAAAGAACGACGCCAGUGCGGCAACAGAAAAGCUAAGUCGUGCGAAACUUUAGAUAUUUCCUUUCUAUAUAAGGUUAUCCGCCUCGGAGAUUUUGUUCUUUGUAUGGAAAACCUGUGCGCGGAGGAAUCAACUCGUAGCUAGUUGCGCCCUUACUCUGUUUCGAGUCCGCUCAAUAACUUAAGUGAGCUGCUAGCGCCCUUACUUUGCUUCGAGUCCGCUCAGCAACUUAAGUGAGCCGCUAGCGCCCUUACUUUGUUUCGAGUCCGCUCAACAACUUAAGUGAGCUGCAACUAGUUGCGACAAGGUUGCUUGUCGGUAGCGACCCCGCCAGCAGGCUGCUGAAGUUCCGCACUCGGCGCUCGCGGCAAGGGUGCCUGCACCGGCAAGUUUCCCUAGAAAGCGUAGGGUGGACGUACAAAGAGAAGUUGAACAGGAAGAUAGCAUGCACUAUUUAUUUGAGAUUUCUGCAUAGACCUGUAUGCCAAGGAGCCUUCUCGGGGCUAGUUGCGCUCCAUGUUGCCUCGAGUCCGCUCGGCAACUUGUGCGGUUGCGCUAGAACCAAGAAGGUAAACCUUUCCGGGAGGCGAUGCUCCCGAAUAGCCGCUAAGGGCCCGUUCCCUCAAGCGCUGCUGGCUGGAUCGUACGCACCGGAAAGCAUUCCAGCAGGCAUAGGGAAUAUGCAGCAAAAGUCAAAAUUCGCAAGCGAGUUAAGUGCACUUUAGAUGCUAAUCACUUGUCAUGUUUAAAUGCAGUUAUGGCCCGAGGGCUGGCAACGCCCCUAGGACCAAUCUUUUUGGUGUCAAGAACAACGAAGUUCUUCGCCAUAAGCCUUUCCGGCAACGAUCUUGCCGGGAGCCGGUGUCAAGAACGACGAAGUUCUUCGCCAUAAGCCUUUCCGGCAACGAUCUUGCCGGGAGCCGGUGUCAAGAACAACGAAGUUCUUCGCCAUAAGCCUUCUCGGCAACAAGCUUGCCGGAAGCCGGCAUCGAGAACGUCAAAGUUCUCUGCUGGAGAUAAAAGCCUUCUCGGCAACAAGCUUGCCGGAAGCCGGCAUCGAGAACGUCAAAGUUUUCUGCUGAAGAUAAAAGCUUUUCUGGCAACAAGCUUGCCGGAAGCCGGCAUCGAGAACGUCAAAGUUCUCUGCUGGAGAUAAAAGCCUUCUCAGCAACAAGCUUGCCGGAAGCCGGCAUCGAGAACGUCAAAGUUCUCUGCUGAAGAUAAAAGCCUUCCUGACAAUAAGCUUGCCGGAAGUCGGCAUCGAGAACGUCAAAGUUCUUUGCUGAAGAUAAAAGCCUUCCUGGCAACAAGCUUGCCGGAAGCUGGCAUCGAGAACGUCAAAGUUCUCUGCUGGAGAUAAAAGCCUUCCCGGCAAGCCAGUAUCACUGGGGGCUGCGCUGGGGAUGCUCUGCGAAGUGAUGGCCGAAUCUGGCAAGGUGGUCUCGGGCGCGCCUCCUGUCGUCGUAGUGGGCUCGUCCUCGAUGACCACCACCUGAGCCUUGGCCCUCUUCGCCGCCCUCUGGGCCAGAGUCCUGAAAAGGGAGAGUCCAGGGUGGGUCAGAUCAGAUGCAAGACAACAUCAGCAAGUUGAAGAACUACAAGAACAACAAGGGAAUCUUACUCUUCUUCCUCUUCCUCGUCGGAGCUGAGCGCGGAAAGGUCGAAGUUCGGCCCACCUCCGGCACGACGAGGUGGAGGGGUGGGAUCCCUUGGCCGCUUGGCGGGGGCUGCGGCGCCAGCCCGAGACGUCCCCGCUUCAGUUGUCGCUGCGGCAGGAGGCGCUCCCGCGGCUACCGUACUUGCCGCGGUAGAGUGCGUCGCGCGACGCUGCGGCUGUUGGCCCACUUGCCACCCUGCUACGUCGCCAACCCUGCGGAGGCGCCUUCUUGGCUGCGCUGCGGGCCCUGCUCGCGGCAAGCUCCUCGGAGAUGGCGGGCCGCUCGCACCCUCGGCGGGCUCGUUCGACUCGGCGUCGGGCGCGGCGAGCUCUUCUUCCUCUUCGGGCUGCUCCCGUUCGGCAAGACUCAUCGCCAACGUCGCGUCCGCUUCCUCCACGGUGAACCCGAAUUCACCCGCGGCCGCGGCUGCCGCUGCCUCUUCCGCCCUGGUGGCGAUGCGCUCCAUCUCUUGAUCAGUGAUGUCGCGGGUGAGGAGCUUCUUCUCGUCAGCAUUGACCGCCACCUCCACUAGGCUGUCGAAGAACUGCUGCACGACGUCGCCGGCGGGCUCUUGCCAAGUUGGAGCGAUCCCGUGCGAGUCACACAACGGCAUCAUGGCGCAGAUGCGGUCGCGCGAGGAGUUGUUGCACAGAGGAACGACGCCUGCCGGCAACCUGAACCACUCGGGAUGCUGUGGGUCAUGCUUGAAUAUCUCCUUAAGUAUCCUGUCCAACUCUAUGACGGUGAAAUUGAAGUUGAGGCCUGGGCGCAACCUCAUGAUAUCUGCCGGGCCUCCAAAUUCCCAGGCGGGUCUCCCCCUCGCCUGCAGAGGGGCGAUCCGCCGACGAAGGAAAUCUGCGCCAACAGCUCCUACGGUCAGCCCGGCAAGCCUAAGGCGCAAGAUCCGGGUGGUGGCGAUCUUCAACUUGUCAUCGUCCGCGGACAGAGCGCUCCAAUCAUUGCCUCGCACUGCUGGGGCUUGGCGCAGGGCGGUGAACGGCUGCGGGUUCUCCUCUACAACCCAGCACCAGUUUGCUCUCCACUCAUCCCACUUGCUGCGGAGCUCCCCCUCCAGAUAGGUCUCUUUCUUGCCGGCUCGCGAGAUCCAGGCGAUCCCCCCGGCAAGGGUUUCCCCUCUCUCGACACGGGGCAUGAAGAAAUGGCGGAAGAGAGCUACGUUGGGGUGGACUCCGACAAAGUUUUCGCAUAGAUGGGCGAAAACUGCCACGGUCAAGACGGCGUUGGAGGUAAAAUCAAGGAGGUGGAGCCCGUAGGUGUUCAUGAUAUCACAAAAGAAAUCAGAGAAUGGCGGACAGAGCCCGCAGUAGAAGAACACGGCAAAGAAAGGUACCCGCCAACUGGAGCUUCUUGCGAGGUGAUGGCAGAGAGUACCUUUGUGCGCGGAUGCGCCCGUGUCUCCGUCGACCAGAAGAGAUAGUACCACUUCCUCAGAUCCUUUGCGGAGAGCUCGGGGAGGAAAGUGGCCCGCUCUUUCCGCAGCGCCUCAAGCCGCUGCGCUUCGGUCGACUUCACAGCUUUCGCGGCCUUCCCCUUUCCGGGCUUCGGAGCCAUGGCGGAGGCGGUGGGGGAGAUCGACGGCGCUGGUGGUGGCGGCGGCGACGGGAGCGGAGCGCUGCUCUCUUUCGACUUUGAAAAUUAAGAAGGGCGGCGGAGGUUUCUGAGAUUGCAGCAGCAAAUGGCGAAGAUAGGGGAAAUACCCCUGUUUCCCCUGCUUAUAAGGAGGAGGGGGCGGACGUUGCGUUCUUUCCGAAUAAAGAACCACCCACGAUCUCCCCCACGACGCCGUGAUUGACGCGUGCCGUUGCGGGGGGUGCGGUGGAUACGGAGCGAGAUUUGGUGUGGACCCAGGCCGCGCGUGCCCGUGCACUGUUUUGGGCCUGGCCCAACAGCGCUCGGCACCGUGUAUGGCCCAGGCCCGGGGGCUCCCGUCGGUGUACUAGAGUAGGGGUACCCUAGUAUCCCGAACUCGUGCACGGGCAGUUGCAGCGCCCCGCGGCAAGGCUUGCCGGGUGACCGCCAAGACCCUCCGUGGUUCCCUUGAAGACCAUUCAAGAACAAAGUACUCAAAUCAAGGCCCCGGCAAGAGGAGCUUGCCGGGAAGGCCAACCCAGGCCCCGGCAAGAGGAUCUUGCCGGGAAGAGACAAGACCCCGGCAAGAGGAGCUUGCCGGGAAGGCCACUCAAGGCAUACCAAGAAAGCUUGCCGCGACGCGCCCUGCGUCCCGGCAAGAUCCGGCGAGCGACAAGCUUCCAGACGCGACAAGACGACGACCCCGGCAAGGUACUUGCCGAAGGCCAGUUGCCACUCUGUACCCACGCUCCAGCGCACCCACCCGCGUGUCGCCAUGAGGCUUCCUCAGGGGGCGCGUGGCGGGAGCCUGUGCAGCCAGGGGUACGUGGUGGCAAGCGGAGAUGAAGAGAAGGCCAUCGUGGCGAACGGUGGCGCUCCUAACGGUCACUUUUUGCACUGUUUAGGCAACUCAGACAGGCAUUCAAUGCUCUUGUCCCCUGCCGUCAGAGUUAGGUAGGGUGCACUGUGUCUACAGUAGCGGUAGCUGCACCUACCGCAUCCUUUUCCAUUUUUACCCCUCUCGUCUACGUUGCCACCUGUCGGUGACCCCUUAAGAGUAUAAAAGGAGGCCCAAGCGCAACGUAGAAGAGGUUCGGCCGGUUCGGCUCAUUCGAAACACCAGAAACACUCCCACGCUCAGUCUGAUAGCGUCGAUCGCUCCUGAGCAAGGAUUCAAUACACACAAACAAGCAGCAGUAGGGUUUUACGCAUCCGUGCGGCCCGAAGCUGGGUAAAACUGCUCGCGUGUACUGCCUCGAUCCGCUCUUUGUUCAACCUCCGCCCUCACCGAAUCGAAAGGGGCUCGGUCCGCCGAUCCCCAUAGGUGUUCGUGGAUCAGUUUCCCCGACAGUUUACAAUCUGAGGUUCCCCUGGUAAUAAAUUUGAUCAUAAUAUGUAUUCGUAAUUUUUCUCACAUAGAUUUGUUUAGAUAUAAAAUUGACUGUUCCCAACAAUACAUUGAUUUCUUUUUGCAGGGAGAGAUCUUGUAAGAACAUAAGUGCCUUAGAAGAAAAGAAAAAGGUAAGUUCCCAUUGCAUGUAUUAAUUAGCUUACUGAAUUCUUUCCCUCAAGAAGAAAUAGACUUAAUCGCAUAUUUGUUGAUGGAUACCAACACAGGCUGCCAGUGGCCACUGGCCAGGCUGGGAGGAUCAAACGGGUUGUGUGUUCACCGGACUCUAGCUUUUAGUGCGCUGCACAGUUUAGGGAUAAUUAAUUUGGUGAUUUAUGCUUCGUUCUCGAAUGAUUCGAUUUUAUAUGUGGAUUUAUGUAUAAGCAUUAGUUUAUGUUGGAGCACUACCCUUUGCCCCCUUACUCAUGGUUUAUAUUAUCAUGCACUUUUUGGGUGGAUUCGUACAACAAGUCAAAUGAGGCAUCCGACUUAGCAAGCUCAUGCUCUCGUUUUCCUUGAAUUGCAUCUAAGAGCAACUCAAAGUGUUGAUUUACAUCUGUAGUUAUGUUCCCAAUGUUGAGGUUAGUGAUUUUCUUAUAGCGGUGAAUUUAAUCUGGAUGCUAAUGAAAGUCUAGCUAGGACGAAAUCUAUCAUGUUUCUGUCGGGAAAACUUGUGAUCAAUGGGUUUACUAAAAUUGACUUUUGGUCUGUAUUAAUGGGCAUUGGCUAUUGUUGUCAUUGGAAUGCGCUUUCUUGUAGUAGUAGGUCAAGAGAACUUUUAUGCAUAACACAAUGCCUUUCAGUUUAUAGAUUCAUAACUGAUAACUGUAAUAAUAUUAUUGAAGAGUAUUUCCUAUUAGAUAACUAAACUUAACAUCACAUCUCUUUAUUUUUGUUUUUCCUUCUGAGAACCUUAGAACCCUGCUUGGAAGACUAUUUAACCCGUCAUUUUUCUAUUUAUUGUUCAAAAUUGCUUCCGUUAACAUGAUCAUGAACACACAGGUUGUAUAUUUAUUUUAAUCGUGUGUACUUGUGACCUCACUUUUUAUGCCUUCUGCUGGCAUGUUGCUAACAANNNNNNNNNNNNNNNNNNNNNNNNNNNNNNNNNNNNNNNNNNNNNNNNNNNNNNNNNNNNNNNNNNNNNNNNNNNNNNNNNNNNNNNNNNNNNNNNNNNNNNNNNNNNNNNNNNNNNNNNNNNNNNNNNNNNNNNNNNNNNNNNNNNNNNNNNNNNNNNNNNNNNNNNNNNNNNNNNNNNNNNNNNNNNNNNNNNNNNNNNNNNNNNNNNNNNNNNNNNNNNNNNNNNNNNNNNNNNNNNNNNNNNNNNNNNNNNNNNNNNNNNNNNNNNNNNNNNNNNNNNNNNNNNNNNNNNNNNNNNNNNNNNNNNNNNNNNNNNNNNNNNNNNNNNNNNNNNNNNNNNNNNNNNNNNNNNNNNNNNNNNNNNNNNNNNNNNNNNNNNNNNNNNNNNNNNNNNNNNNNNNNNNNNNNNAAAAUGUUUUCCCAAUUUUCCUUCCACCAUUUGGUAAGCCUUUGUGGAAUGGUCUGGGGAGGUUUGCAACAUUGUCUACUCAUCUGAUGGAAAUCUGUUUGUUCUCUAUCAUGUGAUUCGCUUUGGAGCUGAUGCAGAGGUACUCUUCUUUGCCUGGGUGUUGUAUGUGGUUCAGUUUGCUGGUUUGGGUUUACACUGAUCUUGCUUGCUCGGUUUUUGGUGUAUAACCAGUUCGCAGGUUUGAUCAAUGGAUGCAACCCAUGGGGGCAUGGAGAUGAUGGCAAGGCAUCACGCUGCGCUGACAGCGAGGAAAGUAACUUGGAUGAAGGCAGCGGCAACGGGUGGUUGUCAAGGAAAGCGGCGUGGGGAUGGGGAAGGUGGGUGGUGAGGGAUGAUUGGGUGGUGAAUGGCAGCCGAGGAGACGGAGCGGCGGCGAGAUUGGACGAGCUCGCCUUCGGAGUGCGUGUGAGGCAAGAUUUCCUUCCCGGGUUGGCCGAGGGCCUCCUUGUGUAUUUAUUAUUUCCGGUAGAAGCAGUGAACAUGCAGGGUUAAAGCAUUUUCUUUUGCCGAGGGGGAGGGUAGAAAACAGAAAAGAUCAGAGGGGGGGAUUGGGAGGUCUGUGGUGGGAGGGGGUGGAAACCCGAGCAGACUGUCAUGAACUAAAGUUCAUUUGUUUACUGACAUGUUCAUAUUGUUUAUCCUUUUGUUAUUGAAUUUGGAAAUGUGUGUAAGGCUUCCAUAUCUUCAAAUUACGAAUACUGAGAAGUGCAAGCCUUUCUCUUCUAGAAAAUUAGGGAAUUGGCUCAUACACUAUUAAAUAAUUUGAUGCACUCUUUCUUAUUUUAAAUGGUCAGGAGGAACAAGUGAAGGCUUCUAUUUUGGACCAGUUCCUUUAUUGGAUAGUUUGAUAACAAUUUCUUAAUGAUUACUCAAACAUAUGAACGUUCUCCAUUAUUAGAUUAAAUCACUUCUGCAGCAUGCGACUGUAGUAAAUAAAAUUAUUCAGAUUCAAGCUAAAAAAAAUAUUUAGAUUCUACCAUGUAACCAAAUAAUGAUAUAUUUGUCUCUCCCAAGGUAGCUAUCCAGUUCUAGCGCAUGGGUUGAGGACUACAACUUUGCUACUGAACCACCAUGAGGAGGCCACCGUGGAGACGAACUAGGUUGUCGUUUAAGUUAACGCCCAGCUAUGACUAAUGUACACAUAUUUUAGUUAAGCAGGCCUUUGUUUCAGUUUGAUUUUCUCGUAUAUACACAAUAUAUUUUUUCCUUCACGUUUCUUGCAAGCACAUAGAUAUUAUAUUUCUUGCCGGCGAAUAAUAAGAGAGAACAAUAAUGUUAUUGCGCUAUAGGCAUCUUGUAAAUAAGACAUCUCUGAUGACAGGUGAGGCACAUUUCAUUUUAAAAUCAGAGAUACAACACUGUAUCAUAUUUCACGAAAUGAUAAGACUUUUGAAGCUAAAAUAAUGGUAGAGCAAGUGUGUGAAGUGAGGAAGCCAAGGGUUGGAAGGGUUGCCUUGUUUACAAGGAGUUGGUUUGUAAGGAGACAUGAUGAUUGUCACAGAUAAAACCAAAUUAGAUAACGGUAUGUGUCCCUAUGUAAAUGAAACCUUAUGCCAUCAUGAACGACAUACAUUUGGGUCUGUAGUUUUGUUUAUUCCAUGGCAAUGCACAUGCAUUAAACAUUAUAUAGCAUGAUCAAAGACGGAUAACUCAAGGCUUGUAACUUCACUACCAUUUCCAAAUGUAAGUUUGUUGGGAAGUCAAAGUCAUGCGCUAUAUUGAGAGGAGAGGCAUGCGGCAGAGAUGAAGGUUCUCUCAGGGUGGCAUGACAGUCAUGAGAGAAUGUUUGUUUAACUACCGUCAUUUUAUGUCCUUUUUACUCUAUAUAUCAGCACGUAGUUAUCUUACUAGAAUUUAUAUGCCCACAUUAUUAUUUGGUAGAAACAAGUGGGAAUACCACAAUUAAUUGGGAGAAGUUUCACGAAUGAGUGUUUCUCUUCAUGUUUCUUCUAGGCAUAAAAACAUUAUAUUUGUUGAGGUUGAAGAAUAAGGAGAGAUAAACUUGCCAUAAAACAACAUGCAUCUUUCAUUAAUAGCAAAUAAGAAAUUCAAUACGCCAUCAUCCUUUGAGGUAGUGAUAACCGUCUCAUUUUCCAAUCAGAUAUACAGUACACCAUCAUCUUUCGAAGUAUGUGAGGACCUUUUCAUAGAUUUGCUAAAGUUUAGAAAAAAUGCCAAGCAAUGGUAGGGUGAGAUGACACUUUGUCUUUUAUAUUUUUAAUAUAUGUUUAUAUGUUCACUUUUAUAGGUUAGAGAUAAAAACAGAUGGCAUAAAAAAUGUUGAUUGACAAAGUCAUGGACGUACCUAUGAUCGACUAAACUCAAAACUCAUCAAGUUUUACACAAGGGGAUGCAUAAAGAUAAUUAUUGUUCCUUAUAUAUAUAUAUAUAUAUAUUGCACAUGAUAAUACAAAAGGUGUAUUUCUAUAUAUGUUUACUUUUGCAGAGUAUAAGAGAGGUAGAGAUGGAUUAUGUCGAUGUUCAGAAAGAAUCCAUCGACAAUGGUCCCGAGGCAAUGUCGUACAAUCAGGAAAAAAGCUAAAAGCCCGUGGCAACGCACGGGCAUUCUACUAGUCUUAGCUAAGGAGCCAAUUAGGAGCAAUCCCUAGUCGAUGCUUAUUGGGAGCAACUAGUUCAUGGGUACCGCCCUUGGGGAGGGGGGGGGGGCUUCCUAGUGAAUGCGCGCAUCGGUGCUCCACCCAUCAUGCGUCGCGCGAUGGAGGCACUCAGCAUGUGCUUUUGGCGUUUUGGGCCUUUUUUGUUUUUAUUCGGGUUUUGGGUUUUUCAAUUUUACCAGGUUUUUUCUUUAUUCUCUGAUUUUUUUUCUUUCUAUUUAUUCUUUGCUUUCUUUGUUUCUUGCAGUGCUUUUCACGUGAAGCAUAAAAAGCACAAUUUGUACUCAUGGUGAAAAACAAUUGUGCUUUGGGAUGAAGUACACUUGUUCUUUCGUGUCAAGCACAAACUACGCUUAUGUGUUUUCCAAAAAAUUGAAAAACAUAGUUGUCGGAGUAAUGGGCCACGGGUAGGCUAACCCGAGGCCCAAAACCUUUCAAGACAUCGGGGCUGACUGCGCCCCUCAAGACGACAGAUGAAGAGCCGCCUUCUGGAGGACGGCUGAAGGAACAGUCGGCUGCCCGUAUGCAUCCGAGUCCUAGAGGCGAGGUCAAGACCGGCCGACUCCACCUGGCGGCUUCCGGAGAAGCCGGCCGCGGGAGUCGGCCUGAUGCCCCACAAGUAUAGGGGAUCUAUCGUAGUCCUUUCGAUAAGUAAGAGUGUCGAACCCAACGAGGAGCAGAAGGAAAUGAUAAGCGGUUUUCAGCAAGGUAUUCUCUGCAAGUACUGAAAUAAGUGGUAACAGAUAGUUUUGUGAUAGGAUAAAUUGUAACGAGCAAUAAAUAAUAAAAGUAAAUAAAGUGCAGCAAGGUGGCCCAAUCCUUUUUGUAGCAAAGGACAAGCCGGAACAAACUCUUAUAAUAGGAAAAGCGCUCCCGAGGACACAUGAGAAUAUCGUCAAGCUAGUUUUCAUCACGUUCAUAUGAUUCGCGUUCGAUACUUUGAUAAUUUGAUAUGUGGGUGGACCGGUGCUUGGGUGUUGUUCUUACUUAAACAAGCAUCCCACUUAUGAUUAACCUCUAUUGCAAGCAUCCACAACUACAACAAAAGUGUUAAGGUAAACCUAACCAUAGCAUGAAACAUAUGGAUCCAUAUCAGCCCUUACGAAGCAACGCAUAAACUAGGGUUUAAGCUUCUGUCACUCUAGCAACCCAUCAUCUACUUAUUACUUCUCAAUGCCUUCCUCUAGGCCCAAAUAAUGGUGAAGUGUUAUAUAGUCUACGUUCACAUAACACCACUACAGGCUAGACAACAUACAUCUUAUCAAAAUAUCAAACGAAUACCAAAUUCACAUGACUACUCAUAGCAAGACUUCUCCCUUGUCCUCAGGAACGAACGUAAUUACUCACAAAUCAUAUUCAUGUUCAUAAUAAGAGGGGUAAUAAUAUGCAUAUAGGAUCUGAACAUAUGAUCUUCCACCAAUUAAACCAACUAGCAUCAACUACAAGGAGUAAUCAACACUACUAGCAACCUACUAGCACCAAUCCCGGACUUUGAGACAAGAAUUGGAUACAAGAGAUGAACUAGGGUUUGGAGAUGAGAUGGUGCUGGUGAAUAUGUUGGUGGAGAUUGCCCUCUCCCAAUGAGAGGAGCGUUGGUGAUGACGAUGGUGAUGAUUUCCCCCUCCGGGAGGGAAGUAUCCCCGGCAGAACAGCUCUGCCGGAGCUCUAGAUUGGAUCCGCCAAGGUUCCGCCUCGUGGCAGCGGAGUCUCGUCCCGAAAAGUUCCCCCUUAUUUUUUUCUCAUCGAAAGACCUCAUAUAGGAGAAGAUGGGUAUCGGAGAGCCACCAGGGGGCCCACGAGGUAGGGGGCGCGCCCUAGGGGGGGGGGGCGCCCCCCACCCUCGUGAGAAGGGUGUGGGCCCCCUGGCCUUCAUCUUUGGCGACGAUUUUUCUUUAUUUCUUUUAAGAUGUCCCAUGAAGUUUCAGGACUUUUGGAGUUGCACAGAAUAGGCCUCUAAUAUUUGCUCCUUUUCCAGCCCAGAAUUCCAGCUGCCGACAUUCUCCCUCUUUAUGUAAACCUUGUAAAAUAAGAGAGAAUAGCCAUAAGUAUUGUGACAUAAAGUGAAAUAACAGUCCAUAAUGCAAUAAAUAUCGAUAUAAAAGCAUGAUGCAAAAUGUACGUAUCAACUCCCCCAAGCUUAGACCUUGCUUGUCCUCAAGCGAAAAGCCGAUAACAAUAAAUAUGUCCUCAUGUUUAGAGGUAGAGGCGUCGAUAAAAAUAAAAUAUAGUCAUGAAGGCAUCAUGAUUAUUCUUAUAACAACAACAUAUAUAGAGUUUGUCAUAUGAUUACUUAUGUUCAAGUGAUGAUCUAUUCAUAAUGCAAAAGUAUAAAUCAUAAACUUUAUUGGGCUCCAACAAACUAUAAUCUCAGUCAUUGAAGCAAUUGCAAUUUAUCAUAACAUCGGAAAGAGUCUAUGUCAGAGCUAAAAAGCAAGUCCACAUACUCAACUAUCAUUUAGUCCUCCAUAAUUGCUAACACUCACACAAUACUACGGAGUUUUAACCAGACACAAAGAAAGAUAGGGGCUUAUAGUUUUGCCCCACAACUUUUUACCUCAAGGGUAAUGUCAACAAUAAUGGUUCAUGCUCCCCUACAUCCAAUUAGAUAUAUAUAUAUAUAUAUAUAUAUAUAUAUAUAUAUAUAUAUAUAUNNNNNNNNNNNNNNNNNNNNNNNNNNNNNNNNNNNNNNNNNNNNNNNNNNNNNNNNNNNNNNNNNNNNNNNNNNNNNNNNNNNNNNNNNNNNNNNNNNNNNNNNNNNNNNNNNNNNNNNNNNNNNNNNNNNNNNNNNNNNNNNNNNNNNNNNNNNNNNNNNNNNNNNNNNNNNNNNNNNNNNNNNNNNNNNNNNNNNNNNNNNNNNNNNNNNAAAAUGAAAAGGAAAGGUGAAGAUCACCGCGACUCUUGCAUAAGGUAGAAGAUAAUAAUAAAUGAUAUGCCCUUCGCAGAGGGAAGCAGAGGUUGCCAUGCGCUUUUAUGGUUGGAUAUAUAAAAUCUCAAUGCGAAAGAACGUCAUUUUAUAUUGCCACUUGUGAUAUGAACCUUUAUUAUGCAGUCCGUCACUUUUAUUACUUCCACAUCACAAGAUUGUAUAAAGCUUAUUCCUCCCACACCAAUCAAUCAUACAUAUUUAGAGCAAUUUUUAUUGCUUUGCACCGAUGCCAACUUACUUGAAGGAUCUUACUCAAUCCAUAGGUAGAUAUGGUGGACUCUCAUGGCAAAACUGGUUUAGGGAUAUUUGGAAGCACAAGUAGUAUUUCUACUUGGUGCUGAGAAUUUGGCUAGCAUGAGGGGGAAAGGCAAGCUCAACAAGUUAGAGGAACCAUGACUACAUACUUUAUCUCAGAUAUAAGAAAGACAUAACUCAUUACGUUGUCUUCCUUGUCCAACAUCAACUCUUUAGCAUGUCAUAUUUUAAUGAGUGCUCCCAAUCAUAAAAGAUGUCAAUGAUAAUAUAUCUAUAUGUGAAACCUCUCUUUCCUUAUUACUUCCUAUUAAUUGCAACAAUGACCAAAGCUAUGUCUGCCAAUUCCCAACAACUUUUAAUCAUCAUACUCUUUCUAUGUGAAGUCAUUACUCUCAAUAAGAUCAAUAUGAACUUUUUGUUUCUUUUUAUUCCUUUUCUCUUUUCUUUUAUUCACCCAAGAUUAUGGCAAAAUAAUCAAGCCCUUGACUCAACACUAAUCUUUAUUAUAUAUAACUCACAGACUCGAUUACAUAGAGAGAUCGUAAAGCAAAACUCAAAACUAGAUCAUGCCAUAAACUUUAUUCUACUAGAUCAAGAUACUACUAAUAGGAUCGAACUAAGAAAAAUGGUAAAGGUAGGAGUUGUGAUGGUGAUACGAUACCGGGGCACCUCCCCCAAGCUUGGCAGUUGCCAAGGGGAGUGCCCAUACCUAGAUACUCAAUUCUUCUUUGUUGGAGGAGACGGUGGAGGUGUUGUUGAUGAUGCGGGCUUGUCAUCCAUCUUCCAAGGCAUAGGUUCACCAUCAUAGAAAGAUGAUCGAGUCUCCAGAAUCCUCAAAUCUGCAGCCAAACUCAUUAUCCUGAAUCUAUAUUCAUACUCACAGUUUUGGUUUUGAAGGUCAUAGACUUGGGCUUGGAGGUGCUCGAUCUUCUCAUGUAGCUUGAAGAUGGCCUCCUCGGUGUUCUUGGCAUCCGACUUGUAGUUGUUAGUGAACUCCGCAAGCAUCAUGUGGCUAGCGUUGAUUCCACGCUCCACCAUCCUUUGGCACUUGAAAACUUGUUGCUCCACUGCUUCGAGCCUCGUCUCCAUGCUUUCGGUCCCCUUUGGUCCCUCUUCAUCGCGGAUGUGCAGCAACCCAUCACGCAUCUCAAUGGUUUGAGGGUGUCGCAGCACCUCCGCGAGGUAAGGGUUGAUGACCUUCUUGAAGAACUUGUCCUUGGAGGCGCUUGGGGCCGUCAUGAUAACCUAGAUCUGUCAGAAAAACAGCCCGAAACAAAAACAGGAGAUUUUGGCGUGAUACGGGAGUCAAAACUUUCGGGAGAAUAUAUAAUGAAUUUUUAUCGACCAAAAUACGUAUCGUGCAAGAAAACGGAGUCCGGAAGGCAUACGAGGCGCUCACGAGGUAGGGGGCACGCCCAGGGGGAUAGGGCGUGCCCACCACCCUCAUGGGGCCCUCGCGUCCUUCCCGGACUGCUACUUAUUUUUCUAUUUUUCUAAAUAUUCCAAAACGGAGAAAUAUUGCCUUAAAAAUUGUUUUGGAGUCGGUUUACUUACCGUACCACAUACCUAUUCCUUUUUGGAGUCUGAAAUGUUCCGAAAAGUAUCCCUUAUUUAUUCCUCCGGGGCUAUGGUUUCAACAUUUAUGGGAUUACCUGAGAUAUAAUGUUUAAUUCUUUGACCAUUUACCACCUUCGGAUUUGUGCCCUCGAAGUUGUUGAUUUUUAUGGCACCGGAACGAUAGACCUCUUUGAUAACAUAGGGGCCUUCCCAUUUAGAGAGAAGUUUUCCUGCAAAAAAUCUUAAACGAGAAUUGUAUAGCAAUACAUAAUCACCUACAUUAAACUCAUGCUUUUGUAUCCUUUUGUCAUGCCAUUUUUUUUAACUUUUUCUUUAAACAACUUGGCAUUUUCAUAAGCUUGGGUUCUCCAUUCAUCAAGUGAGCUAAUAUCAAAUAACCUCUUCUCACCGGAAAGUUUAAAAUCAUAGUUGAGUUCUUUAAUAGCCCAGUAUGCCUUAUGUUCUAGUUCGAGAGGUAAGUGACAUGCUUUUCCAUAAACCAUUUUAUACGGAGACAUACCCAUAGGAUUUUUGUAUGCAGUUCUAUAAGCCCAUAAUGCAUCAUCAAGUUUCUUAGACCAAUUCUUUCUAGACCUAUUAACAGUCUUGUGCAAAAUUAAUUUGAGCUCUCUAUUGCUCAACUCUACUUUACCACUAGACUGUGGGUGAUAAGGGGAUGCAAUUCUAUGAUUAACAUCAUAUUUAGCAAGCAUUUUACGGAAGGCACCAUGAAUAAAGUGUGAACCACCAUCAGUCAUUAAAUAUCUAGGGACUCCAAACCUCGGAAAAAUAACUUCCUUAAGCAUUUUAAUAGAAGUGUUAUGAUCAGCACUACUAGUUGGAAUAGCUUCUACCCACUUAGUAACGUAGUCAACAACAACUAAAAUAUGUGUGUAUCCAUUAGAGGCAGGAAAAGGUCCCAUAUAAUCAAAGCCCCAAAUAUCAAACGGUUCAAUAACAAGUGAAUAAUUCAUAGGUAUUUCUUGACGUCUACUAAUAUUACCAAUUCUUUGACAUUCAUCACAAGACAAGACAAACUUACGGGCAUCCUUGAAGAGAGUAGGCCAAUAAAAACCAGAUUGCAAUACCUUAUGUGCAGUUCUAUCUCCAGCAUGGUGUCCUCCAUAAGACUCAGAAUGACACUUGCGUAGGAUCUGUUCCUGUUCAUGCUCAGGUACACAACGCCUAAUAACACCAUCUACUCCUUCUUUAUAAAGAUGUGGGUCAUCCCAAAAGUAAUGUCUCAAGUCAUAGAAAAACUUUUUCUUUUGCUGGUAUGUGAAACUAGGUGGUAUAAACUUAGCAACAAUAUAAUUAGCAUAAUCAGCAUACCAUGGAGUACUACGAGAAGUACUUAUAACAUUUAAUUGUUCAUCAGGAAAGUCAUCAUUAAUAGGUAGUGGGUCAUCAAGAAUAUUUUCUAACCUAGAUAAGUUGUCUGCAACGGGGUUCUCAGCUCCCUUUCUAUCAACAAUAUUCAAAUCAAAUUCUUGUAGCAAGAGAAGCCAUCUAAUAAGUCUAGGUUUAGCAUCUUUCUUUUCCAUAAGAUAUUUAAUAGCAGCAUGAUCAGUGUGAAUAGUUACUUUAGAAUCAACAAUAUAAGAUCUGAACUUAUCACAAGCAAAUACAACUGCUAAAAGCUCUUUUUCAGUAGUAGCAUAAUUUCUUUGAGCAUUGUCUAGAGUCUUACUAGCAUAAUGAAUAACAUUUAAUUUCUUAUCAACUCUUUGCCCUAGAAAAACACCUACAGCAUAAUCACUAGCAUCACACAUAAUUUCAAAGGGUAAAUUCCAAUCAGGUGGCUGAACAACAGGUGCAGAGACUAAUGAUUUCUUAAGUAUUUCAAAUGCUUCUACACAAUCAUCAUCAAAGACAAAUGGUAUAUAUUUUUGCAAUAAAUUAGUCAGAGGCCGAGAAAUUUUUGAGAAGUCCUUAAUGAACCUCCUGUAAAAUCCGGCGUGACCAAGGAAACUUCUUAUACCUUUGAUGUCCUUGGGACAUGGCAUCUUUUCAAUAGCAUCAACCUUGGCUUUAUAAACUUCAAUACCUCUUUCAGAAACUUUGUGCCCCAAGACAAUACCUUCAUUAACCAUAAAGUGGCACUUUUCCUAAUUCAAGACAAGAUUAGUUUCUUCACAUCUCUGCAAAACUCGAUCAAGAUUGCUCAAGCAAUCAUCAAAAGAAGAACCAUAGACAGAAAAUGUUGGAAAUAUGCCCUAGAGGCAAUAAUAAAAUGGUUAUUAUUAUAUUUCUUUGUUCAUGAUAAUUGUCUAUUGUUCAUGCUAUAAUUGUGUUAUCCGGAAAUCGUAAUACAUGUGUGAAUACAUAGACCACAACACGUCCCUAGUGAGCCUCUAGUUGACUAGCUCGUUGGUCAAAAGAUAGUCAUAGUUUCCUGACUAUGGACAUUGGAUGUCAUUGAUAACGGGAUCACAUCAUUAGGAGAAUGAUGUGAUGGACAAGACCCAAUCCUAAGCAUAGCUCAAAGAUCGUGUAGUUCGUUUUCUAUAGCUUUUCCGAAUGUCAAGUAUCAUUUCCUUAGACCAUGAGAUUGUGCAACUCCCGGAUACCGUAGGAGUGCUUUGGGUGUGCCAAACGUCACAACAUAACUGGGUGACUAUAAAGGCACACUACAGGUAUCUUCGAAAGUGUCUGUUGGGUUGGCACGAAUCGAGACUGGGAUUUGUCACUCCGUAUGAUGGAGAGGUAUCUCUGGGCCCACUCGGUAAUGCAUCAUCAUAAUGAGCUCAAUGUGACCAAGUGGUUGAUCACGGGAUCAUGCAUUACGGUACGAGUAAAGUGACUUGCCGGUAACGAGAUUGAAUGAGGUAUUGGGAUACCGACGAUCGAUUCUCGGGCAAGUAACGUACCGAUUGACAAAGGGAAUUGUAUACGGGAUUGAUUGAAUCCUCGACAUCGUGGUUCAUCCGAUGAGAUAAUCGAGGAGCAUGUGGGAUCCAACAUGGGUAUCCAGAUCCCGCUGUUGGUUAUUGACAGGAGAGUCAUCUCGGUCAUGUCUGUGUGUCUCCAGAACCCGUAGGGUCUACACACUUAAGGUUCGGUGACGCUAGGGUUGUUGAGAUAUUAGCAUACGGUAACCCGAAAGUUGUUCGGAGUCCCGGAUGAGAUCCCGGACAUCAUGAGGAGUUCCGGAAUGGUCCGGAGGUGAAGAUUCAUAUAUAGGAAGUCAAGUUUCGGCCAUCGGGAAGGUUUCGGGGGUAAUCGGUAUUAUACCGGGACUACCGAAAGGGUCCCGGGGGUCCACCGGGUGGGGCCACCUAUCCCGGAGGGCCCCAUGGGCUGAAGUGGGAGGGGAACCAGCCCCUAGUGGGAUGGUGUGCCCCCCAUGGGCCUCCCCUGCGCCUAGGGUUGGAAACCCUAGGGGUGGGGGCGCCCCAUUUGGCUUGGGGGGCACUCCACCCCCCUUGGCCGCCGCCAUCCCUUGGAGAUUCAAUCUCCUAGGGCCGACGCCCCCCCUUGGAGAUUCAAUCUCCUAGGACCGACGCCCCCCCUUAGGAGUCCUAUAUAUAGUGGGGGAGGGAGGGCAGCCUCACCCUAGCCCCUGGCCUCUCCCUCUCCCUCCCAUGACACUCCUCCCUCUCCCUGAGCUUGGCGAAGCCCUGCCGAGAUCACCGUUGCUUCCACCACCACGCCGUCGUGCUGCUGGAUCUUCAUAAACCUCUUCUUCCCCCUUGCUGGAUCAAGUUGGAGGAGACGUCUUCCCAACCGUACGUGUGUUGAACGCGGAGGUGCCGUCCGUUCAGCGCUAGGUCAUCGGUGAUUUGGAUCACGACAAGUAUGACUCCAUCAACCCCGUUCUCUUGAACGCUUCCGCGCGCGAUCUACAAGGGUAUGUAGAUGCACUCCUCUCCCCCUUGUUGGUAGAUGACUCCAUAGAUUGAUCUUGGUGAUGCGUAGAAAAUUUUAAAAUUCUGCUACGUUCCCCAACAGUAGCAUCAUGAGCUAGGUCUAUGCGUAGUUUCUAUGCGCGAGUAGAACACAAAGCAGUUGUGGGCGUGGAUAUUGUCAAUUUGCUUGCCGUUACUAGUCUUAUCUUGAUUCAGCGGCAUCGUGGGAUGAAGCGGCCCGGACCGACCUUACACGUACGCUUACGUGAGACUGGUUCCACCGAUUGACAUGCACUAGUUGCAUAAGGUGGCUGGCGGGUGUUUGUCUCUCCCACUUUAGUCAGAUCAGAUUCGAUGAAAAGGGUCCUUAUGAAGGGUAAAUAGAAAUUGGCAUAUCACGUUGUGGUUUUGGCGUAGGUAAGAAACGUUCUUGCUAGAAACCUAUAGCAGCCACGUAAAAACUUGCAACAACAAUUAGAGGACGUCUAACUUGUUUUUGCAGCAUGUGCCGUGUGAUGUGAUAUGGCCAAAAGGAUGUGAUGAAUGAUAUAUGUGAUGUAUGAGAUUGAUCAUGUUCUUGUAAUAGGAAUCACGACUUGCAUGUAGAUGAGUAUGACAACUGGCAGGAGCCAUAGGAGUUGUCUUUAUUUAUUUAUGACCUGUGUGUCAACAUAAACGUCAUGUAAUUACUUUACUUUAUUGCUAAAGUGUUAGCCAUAGUAGUAGAAGUAAUAGAUGACGAGACAACUUCAAGAAGACACGAUGAUGGAGAUCAUGGUGUCAUGCCGGUGACAACGAUGAUCAUGAAGCCCCGAAGAUGGAGAUCAAAAGGAGCAAAUGAUAUUGGCCAUAUCAUGUCACUAUUUGAUUGCAUGUGAUGUUUAUCAUGUUUUACAUCUUAUUUGCUUAGAACGACGGUAGCUUAAAUAAGAUGAUCCCUCGUAAUAAUUUCAAGAAAGUGUUCCCCCUAACUGUGCACCAUUGCGAAGGUUCGUUGUUUCGAAGCACCACGUGAUGAUCGAGUGUGAUAGAUUCUAAUGUUCGAAUACAAUGGGUGUAAGCCAGAUUUACACACGCAAUACACUUAGGUUGACUUGACGAGCCUAGCAUGUACAGACAUGGCCUCGGAACACGGAAGAUCGAAAGGUCGAGCAUGAGUCGUAUAGAAGAUACGAUCAAGAUGUUCACCGAUGUUGACUAGUCCGUCUCACGUGAUGAUCGGACACGGCCUAGUUAACUCGGAUCAUGUUUCACUUAGAUGACUAGAGGGAUGUCUAUUUGAGUGGGAGUUCAUUGAAUAAUUUGAUUAGAUGAACUUAAUUAUCAUGAACUUAGUCUAAAAUCUUUACACUAUGUCUUGUAGAUCAAAUGGCCCACGCUAAUGUUGCCCUCAACUUCAACGCGUUCCUAGAGAAAACCAAGCUAAAAGAUGAUGACAUCAACUAUACGGACUAGGUCCGGAACCUGAGGAUCAUCCUCAUAGCUGCCAAGAAAGAUUAUGUCCUAGAAGCACCGCUAGGUGACGCACCCAUCCCAGAGAACCAAGACGUUAUGAACGCUUGGCAGUCACGUGCUGAUGAUUACUCCCUCGUUCAGUGUGGCAUGCUUUACAGCUUAGAACCGGGGCUCCAAAAGCGUUUUGAGCGACACGGAGCAUAUGAGAUGUUCGAAGAGCUGAAAAUGGUUUUCCAAGCUCAUGCCCGGGUCGAGAGAUAUGAAGUCUUCGACAAGUUCUUCAGUUGUAGGAUGGAGGAAAAUAGUUCUAUCAAUGAGCACAUACUCAAAAUGUCUGGGUUGCAUAACCACUUGACUCAGCUGGGAGUUAAUCUCCUGGAUGACGCAGUCAUUGACAGAAUCCUUCAGUCGCUUCCACCUAGCUACAAGAGCUUUGUGAUGAACUUCAAUAUGCAGGGGAUGAAAAGACCAUUCCUGAGGUAUAUUCAAUGCUGAAAUCAGCGGAGGUGGAAAUCAAAAAGGAACAUCAAGUGUUGAUGGUGAAUAAAACCACUAAGUUCAAGAAAGGCAAGGGUAAAAAGAACUUCAAGAAGGACGGCAAGGGAGUUGCCGCGCCCGGUAAGCAAGCUGCGGGAAGAAGUCAAAGAAUGGACCCAAGCCUGAGACUGAGUGUUUUUAUUGCAAGGGAAGUGGUCACUGGAAGCGGAACUGCCCCAAAUACUUAGCGGACAAGAAGGCCGACAACAUUAAAGGUAUAUGUAUUAUACAUGUAAUUGAUGUGUACCUUACCAGUACUCGUAGUAGCUCCUGGGUAUUUGAUACCGGUGCAGUUGCUCACAUUUGUAACUCAAAGCAGGAGCUGCAGAAUAAGAGGAGACUGGCGAAGGAUGAGGUGACGAUGCGCGUCGGGAAUGGUUCUAAGGUCGAUGUGAUCGCCGUCGGCACACUGCCUCUACAUUUACCCACAGGAUUAGUUUUAAACCUCAAUAAUUGUUAUUUAGUGCCGGCUUUGAGCAUGAACAUUGUAUCAGGAUCUCGUUUAAUUCGAGAUGGCUACUCAUUUAAAUCCGAGAAUAAUGGUUGUUCUAUUUAUAUGAGAGAUAUGUUUUAUGGUCAUGCUCCGCUGGUGAAUGGUUUAUUCUUAAUGAAUCUUGAGCGUAAUGUUACACAUAUUCAUAGUGUGAAUACCAAAAGAUGUAAGGUUGAGAAUGAUAGUCCCACAUACUUGUGGCACUGCCGCCUUGGUCACAUAGGUGUCAAACGCAUGAAGAAGCUCCAUGUAGAUGGACUUUUGAAGUCUCUUGAUUACGAAUCAUUUGACACGUGCGAACCAUGCCUCAUGGGUAAAAUGACCAAGACUCCGUUCUCAGGAACAAUGGAGCGAGCAACCAACUUAUUGGAAAUCAUACAUACUGAUGUGUGCGGUCCAAUGAGUGUUAAGGCUCGCGGUGGCUAUCGUUACGUUCUCACCCUCACUGAUGACUUGAGUAGAUAUGGGUAUGUCUACUUAAUGAAACACAAGUCUGAGACCUUUGAAAAGUUCAAGGAAUUUCAGAGUGAGGUUGAGAAUCAAUGUGACAAGAAAAUCAAGUUCUUGCGAUCAGAUCGUGGGGGAGAAUACUUGAGUCACGAAUUUGGCACACACUUAAGGAAAUGUGGAAUAGUUUCACAACUCACGCCUCCUGGAACACCUCAGCGUAAUGGUGUGUCCGAACGUCGUAAUCGCACUCUAUUGGAUAUGGUGCGAUCUAUGAUGUCUCUUACCGAUUUAUCGCUGUCAUUUUGGGGCUAUGCUUUAGAGACUGCCGCAUUCACUUUAAAUAGGGCUCCGUCGAAAUCCAUUGAGAUGACACCGUAUGAAUUAUGGUUUGGGAAGAAACCUAAGCUGUCGUUUCGAAAAGUUUGGGGAUGCGAUGCUUAUGUCAAGAAACUUCAACCUGAAAAUCUCGAACCCAGGUCGGAAAAAUGCGUCUUCAUAGGAUACCCUAAAGAAACUAUUGGGUAUACCUUCUACCUCAGAUCCGAAGGCAAGAUCUUUGUUGCCAAGAAUGGAUCCUUUCUAGAGAAAGAGUUUCUCUCGAAAGAAAUAAGUGGGAGGAAAGUAGAACUCGAUGAAGUAUUACCUCUUGAACCAGUAAGUGGCGCAGCUCAAGAAAAUGUUCCUAAGGUGCCUGCACCGACUAGAGAGGAAGUUAAUGAUGAUGAUCAUGAAACUUCAGAUCAAGUUGCUAUUGAACUUCGUAGGUCCACAAGGACACGUUCCGCACCAGAGUGGUACGGCAACCCUGUCUUGGAAAUCAUGUUGUUAGACAACGGUGAACCUUCGAACAAUGAAGAAGCGAUGGCGGGCCCAGAUUCUGACAAAUGGCUGGAAGCCAUGAAAUCUGAGAUAGUAUCCAUGUAUGAAAACGAAGUAUGGACUUUGACUGACUUUCCCGAUGACCGGCGAGCCAUAGAAAAUAAAUGGAUCUUUAAGAAGAAGACAAACGCGGAUGGUAAUGUAACCAUCUAUAAAGCUCGGCUUGUCGCUAAGGGUUAUCAACAAGUUCAAGGUACGAUGAGACUUUGUCACCCGUAGCGAAGCUGAAGUCCGUCCGAAUCAUGUUAGCAAUUGCCGCAUUCUAUGAUUAUUAGAUAUGGCAAAUGGACGUCAAAACGGCAUUCCUUAAUGGUUUCCUUAAGGAAGAAUUGUAUAUGAUGUAGCCGGAAGGUUUUGUCGAUCCUAAGAAUGCUGACAAGGUGUGCAAGCUCCAGCGCUCGAUUUAUGGGCUGGUGCAAGCAUCUCGGAGUUGGAACAUUCGUUUUGAUGAGAUGAUCAAAGCGUUUGGGUUUACGCAGACUUAUGGAGAAGCCUGCAUUUACAAGAAAGUGAGUGGGAGCUCUAUAGCAUUUCUCAUAUUGUAUGUGGAUGACAUACUGUUGAUGGGAAAUGAUAUAGAAUUCUUGGAAAGCAUAAAGGCCUACUUGAACAAGUGUUUUUCAAUGAAGGAUCUUGGAGAAGCUGCUUAUAUAUUAGGCAUCAAGAUAUAUAGAGAUAGAUCGAGACGCCUCAUUGGUCUUUCACAGAGUACGUACCUUGACAAGAUAUUGAAGAAGUUCAAAAUGGAUCAGUCAAAGAAGGGGUUCUUGCCUGUAUUGCAAGGUACGAGAUUGAGCACGGCUCAAUGCCCGACCACGGCAGAAGAUAGAGAAAAGAUGAG
rnacentral:lncRNA from 1 species